UACUGUUUUCUUAGGAAGGAUACCAUCCAAUUUUAUCUUUUUUUUUUUUGAAGGGACACCCCAGGAAUGGAUGACAAAUUAAUGUGCUACUUAUCCUCGCCAACUCUUCCAGCUGGCUUAAUUCUCAUCAGCCACUAUAAUUUAUUAACAGUGAGGUGAGAAAAGACAUGAAUCAGCUUAAUGUGAUAUAAGUAGGGCGUUGCCAUGGAAACAAGAUGCGGUCUGUUUUCUACUAUUUAUGUGUGGUUUAUUUUCUCCAGAGCCAUUGAGUUACUGCUUGAAACAACUGUGAUGCAGACUGAAGCUGACCACUCAUUGCCAGCUACUAAAGGUUUGAGAUCAUAAUGGAUAUAGUCAUCUCCAAAGCAUAAGAAACAGCAGAGUCGGAAAAGGUGUGUACUGAUAAAUGUUAAGCAACCUCCGAGGAAAAAAAAUGUACAUGUGACACACAUACAUCAUAUACAUGUGUCAUUAUAAAGACAGUUUGAUCUGCAUUAUCAGCAUUUUCUUUAUUACUCUCUUACUUCAUUUUCUUCAUUACUCUAGACAAG
rnacentral:lncRNA from 1 species